rnacentral:lncRNA from 1 species
AUAACAAUAGUACUACUAAUAAAGGGAAAUUAUCUUUUAAACCUAUGAAACAUUCCCAGAUUAAUAAUUAACUACAAAUUUAAACAAAAGCUGUGUUCAUGCUCUAUAUUUCUGUACUAGUAACUGACAUGUUAAAAGUAAUUUAUUGGCAUCUAGCAGAAACCGUCUGCCACUUUAUAGAGGUCACAGAAUCGUAAGAAUUUAAAGCUGGAAGAGCCUUUAAGAGCUUGUAAUCCAGCCUCCUUCUCAUUUCAUAACUGAGGAAACAGUGGCGCAGAGAGAGGCUAAGCCCAGCUGUUGCAACACCCUUGAAUGGGACUUCGGUGAGCGUUUUGCUUGCUGGCGAUUUGAAGAGACCCACAGUACUUUUCAUUUGUAGUAGGAAUGAAUUAAUUGUAUCAGCCCCCCCCCCCCAGCGCUUUUUGUUAAGUGAGGAAGAUGCAGACCAAAGUUAAAACUUCUCUCCCUAGAGGAGAGAAGCCAGGAAUAUUUAAAUUAUUGUACUGGACCAUGUGAUUGGUGCUAAAUGAAAAUAACAUUGAUUCUAAUCCAUUCAAGUUUAGGGCAUCUGGCCUGAGAACACGUUGUCAACAACAAAAGUUACCAAGACUGUAAAGUAUCUGAAUCCAAAGCCAAAACAGAGAAAGGAAUUGCGGAAUUCUGGGGCAGGAUUUAAUGAAAGAGCUCUCCACUCUGGAAAAACUGCAGCAGUUGGGGGAUGUGGGAAAAGACACCUUUGCCAUGCAGAGGACUCCCAUCUUUAAGAUUCCCAUUCGAAAGCAAGAUUGCCUGAUAGAUAAGGCAAGGCGGGCGACAGACCACGAUCCCAACCGCCCACUCCUUUCUUGCCCCAAAGAGAGUUGCCCACCUCACUGUUGGCAUCGGACAGUGCGCCUGCCGAGGGCUCGCCCCGCCUUGAUGGUAGGGGGUCUGGCCCGGGCGCUCGUUCCUGCCUAGCUUUUUCUGCCCUCACCCACC